rnacentral:ncRNA from 1 species
UGCAAUAGUAACCCUGCUCAAUAUGAGAGCAGCCACAGGUUCAGACAUUGGGUGUCUGUGCUUGGCUGAGGAGCCAAAGGUAUGAAGCCCCAAUCCGAGGGGUUAUGACUGAAUGCCUGAGUGAGGAUCCCCCCUAAACAGUA